CGUGUGUGUCACGUUCUUUAACGUUCUGCCUGGAAACAAAGAUGCUGUGCCGCCAAAUCCCCUCACGAAAGAAGAAAGCCAUAGUGUUUACAACUGUGAAGACAACCACUUAUCAGGAUCAGCUAAACACUGGAGCUUCAAAGAUUUGUGAAUAAGGCUGCAUUUAAUUCUCAAGGAUAAAUGGUGGUGCCAUAGUGGUUGAAUGAGUGAAUGACCACGCAGGACACCUGGGAGUGGAGAAGACCCUGGGCUUGGCCCAUCAAAGUUUCUUUUGGCCAGGAUUGGCACAAAGAGUGGAUAAGUGGUGCCUUCAGUGUGUUCAAUGCAACUUGCAUAAGACUCCAGCCCAUAAAGAGCUAAUACACCCCAAAGGCUCUUUUAAGAGCUACAGCACUGAGCAUAUUUGCUUUUUUUCCACAAAAUUUAAUUGGAUUGAUUCGUUUGGAAGUAUUUGAAAAUACAGGUCCUUCUCAAAACAACGAGAAGAGGUGACUGGACCCUGAGGAAGAUUGUGGAGAAGGACCGAUUCCAGACCUUGGGGGACCCUGCGG